CUUGAGCUGGAGUCACCCAGCCUGGCCAAGAACUGGAAAAGUCUCUUUGGGGAUUUGGACCCAUUUCUGAAAAGCUCAUGAAAACCACUUUGCCUUGGACUCCUGCCCCCAGCCGGAGCCCUCCAUAUCCAUUUAACCCAAAUCCCCAACUCCAGGGAUGACUACAGGUUGGGGGAGCCCCGAGAGCAAGGGAGGUGAGGAAACUGAUGUCCAGAAAGAAGCAGGCAUCAGUGGAGACACUCCUAGCCCUGCUGCCCUCUCCUCACUGCACACACUUCCAGGUUCAGACAAACCGGAAAGGAAACCCACCAUGCAGGACUGUCCAUGUGAUGGCUCUUCCCGUGGCUCCAUUUCUAAGCGCCUCCGAGGACCUCAUCGUGGCCCAGGACCGCAAGCCAAGGCCACCCCAGUGUCCUUACCAUCCUGGGAAUGGGAGGAGUCAGGCCCAGCCUUGUCCUGUCUGCCCCCCUGGAAGCCUUCCCUGAGCACUGGCCUCUUAUUUACCCGUCUUUGUCUCUGGCUUGUUGGUAUCUGUCCCUUGUCUGAUUAGGGAACGCCUGAGGUCAGGAUCUUUGCCUCCCCAAUCAGAUUGUCAGGCAGGAGUGGGGGUAGUGCAGAUGCUGGGUCAUUUCUACAUGUGAGACCAAAUAGUGGUCCUGUUUAAGUUGAUCCCCUUGAAAGAAAAUUCUGGAAAAGCUCCUCAGAUGCACAGAUACACAGAAUCAGACCUUGGGCAAAGUGUGUAGUUGUGCUUUUGAAGCUGUGCAACCUUGGACAAACUACUUGACUUCUCUGUGCCUCAGUUUCCUUAUUUGUGAAAUGAGGGGUAGUCAUGAUACCUUCCCCAUGAGGUUGAUGGGAGGAUUGAGUUAAUAUUUAUAAAGCAUUUCAGACAGUGCCA
rnacentral:lncRNA from 1 species